AUGAGUCAAAAAUCAAAAGAAGAUGUUUCUGCUUCUUGGGUUGAUCAUGUCACUUCGUCAAAUGUUUUUAUCUUUUCUCGAGAGGGUAACCUUGAUAGAUCUUUUCUAGAUGCAGGUCCUUCUUUGGAUUGGGGUGUAUUAACCCCGACGAAGACAGAAGGAUUUGAUGUGAAUAUGGCGAAUGCACCAUUCCAUUUUAUGAGUGCACCUUCUCAAUCUUGGGUUUCUGCUUGCCCUUCAAUAACUUUGAGAUAA